rnacentral:rRNA from 1 species
UACAGAGGGGGCAAGCGUUGUCCGGAUUGACUGGGCGUAAAGGGUCCGUAGGUGGUGCCACACGACCGGCGUGAAAGCCCCGAGCUUAACUCGGGCGGGCCGUUGGUGACGGUGGUGCUAGAGGGCGGCAGAGGUGGGUGGAAUUGCCGGUGUAGUGGUGAAAUGCGUAGAGAUCGGCAGGAACACCAAGGGGGAACCCAGCCCACUGGGCCGCGCCUGACACUGAGGGACGAGAGCGUGGGGAGCGAACCGG